rnacentral:rRNA from 1 species
ACGGGAGGUAGCAGUGGGGAAUAUUGCACAAUGGGGGAAACCCUGAUGCAGCGACGCCGCGUGAGUGAAGAAGUAUUUCGGUAUGUAAAGCUCUAUCAGCAGGGAAGAAAAUGACGGUACCUGACUAAGGAGCCCCGGCUAACUACGUGCCAGCAGCCGCGGUAAUACGUAGGGGGCAAGCGUUAUUCGGAUUUACUGGGUGUAAAGGGAGCGUAGACGGCGAUGCAAGUCUGAUGUGAAAUUCCGGGGCUCAACCCCGGCACUGCAUUGGAAACUGUGUUGCUAGAGUGCAGGAGAGGUAAGUGGAAUUCCUAGUGUAGCGGUGAAAUGCGUAGAUAUUAGGAGGAACACCAGUGGCGAAGGCGGCUUACUGGACUGUAACUGACGUUGAGGCUCGAAAGCGUGGGGGGCAAACAGGAUUAGAUACCCUGGUA